rnacentral:rRNA from 1 species
AGAGUUUGAUCCUGGCUCAGAAUGAACGCUGGCGGCGUGCCUAACACAUGCAAGUCGGAUGUGCCCGCAAGGGUGCAUGGCAGACGGGUGAGUAACGCGUGGGGAAUCUACCUCUUUGUGGGGAAUAACGCUCCGAAAGGAGUGGUAAUACCGCAUGAGAUCCAUGGCUGGAAUGUUGUGGAUGAAACCUGGGGACCUUCGGGCCUGGGGCAAGGAGAGGAUCCUGCGUCUGAUUAGCUAGUUGGUGAGGUAACGGCCCACCAAGGCAACGAUCAGUAGCCGGCCUGAGAGGGUGAUCGGCCACACUGGAACUGAGACACGGUCCAGACUCCUACGGGAGGCAGCAGUGGGGAAUUUUGCGCAAUGGGCGAAAGCCUGACGCAGCAACGCCGCGUGGGUGAUGAAGGUCUUC